UCUAAGCAAAUAUUUUGCCAGAGAUUCAGAACAGCUGCCAUCAUCUGGAAAAGAUGAACAGACACAACAGGGGAUUCCAGAAGUUUGUUUCCACGAAACUGCAGUACAUGUUCCUUCAGAAGUGAAAGAGGAAGCAGCUAAACGAAAAGCGGCUGACAUUUUUAUCUCCCAGUAUGAUGCUGGGCAGAAGGAGGCUGUAAGAGCUGUAUUCAAGCAGCGGUAAGUAUGGCAACUUGGAACAAAGUAUUAAUCUCUUCGAAUGGUUCUAAAGCACUAGAUAUGUCUAGUCACAUCUUGAGGGUACAAAGAAUUGAGUGCCCCGUGAUGUCUUUCACAACUUUUAAAUGGUUGAUCACAACAGAAAACGCAAACACGAAAACCCUUAUAUUUAGAACAAGCAAUAUACUGAAAUGAAGCUACAUGGUC